rnacentral:rRNA from 1 species
UACGUAGGGCGCAAGCGUUGUCCGGAAUUAUUGGGCGUAAAGAGCUCGUAGGCGGCUUGUCACGUCGGUUGUGAAAGCCCCGGGGCUUAACCCCGGGUCUGCAGUCGAUACGGGCAGGCUAGAGUGUGGUAGGGGAGAUCGGAAUUCCUGGUGUAGCGGUGAAAUGCGCAGAUAUCAGGAGGAACACCGGUGGCGAAGGCGGAUCUCUGGGCCAUUACUGACGCUGAGGAGCGAAAGCGUGGGGAGCGAACAGG